UAAUUGGGGCUAAGUCGUAACAAGGUAGCCGUACCGGAAGGUGUGGCUGGAACACCUCCUUUUU
rnacentral:rRNA from 1 species